AGGGGUAAGGAGCUGAUAUCAGGCUCAAUUACACCCAAGACAUCUAGCUAUGCCACACCCACAAGGGUCCUCAGCAGUGAUUAACAUUGAAAAUAAACGUCAGUUUGAUUUAGUUAAUGCAAAUAGAGCCGGCCAAUCUGGUGCCAGCCGCCGCGGUUACACCACGUGGCUCAAAUUGAUAUAAUACGGCGUAAAGCGUGAUUAAAGCAACACAACUUACUGGGGUUAAACUUGCACUAAGCUGUAAUACGCUAGUUUUUAAGAAAAUCUAUCUCGAAAGAUACCCCAUCCACCAACUUGAACUCACGAUAACUAGGAUACAAACUGGGAUUAGAUACCCCACUAUGCCUAGUGAUAAACUUUUACUUACAUCUUUAACGCCAGGGAACUACGAGCAAAGCUUAAAACCCAAAGGACUUGACGGUACUCCACACCCUUCUAGAGGAGCCUGUCCUAUAACCGAUACUCCCCGUUUAACCUCACCAUUUUUAGUCUCUCAGCCUGUAUACUUCCGUCGCCAGCUUACCGCGUGAGCGUAUAAGUAAGCUCAAUGUCACCCACCAACACGUCAGGUCAAAGUGCAGUUAAUAAAAUGGCAAGAGAUGGGCUACACUCUCUAUUAUAGAAGAAACGAAAGACUAUGUGAAACCAUGGCCAAAAGGUGGAUUUAGUAGUAAGAAGAAAAUAGAAUAUUCUCCUUAACCCGGCACUGGAGUGUGUACACACCGCCCGUCACCCUCUUCAAUAAACCAAACUAGUAUUUAACACCCACUACCCUAAAUAGAAGAGGUAAGUCGUAACAUGGUAAGUAUACCGGAAGGUGUGCUUGGAAA
rnacentral:rRNA from 1 species